GAUGAACGCUGACAGAAUGCUUAACACAUGCAAGUCUUUGGCGAAGCUGUGCUUGCACAGCCUAGCCAAGGCGGACGGGUGAGUAACGCGUAAGGAACUUGCCCUGCAGUCAGGGAUAACAGACGGAAACGACUGAUAAGACCUGGUAAAGUCAGGCGGACUCAUGUCCAGCCUGAUGAAAAGAGAUGCUGCAGGAGAGCCUUGCGUCCUAUUAGCUUGUUGGUGGGGUAACGGCCCACCAAGGCGAUGAUAGGUAGCCGGCCUGAGAGGGUGGACGGCCACAAGGGGACUGAGAUACGGCCCUUACUCCGACGGGAGGCAGCAGUGGGGAAUAUUGGACAAUGGGGGCAACCCUGAUCCAGCAAUUCUGUGUGCACGAUGAAGUUUUUCGGAUUGUAAAGUGCUUUCAGCAGGGAAGAAAAAAAUGACGGUACCUGCAGAAGAAGCGACGGCUAAAUACGUG
rnacentral:rRNA from 1 species